CAGUGCAGUAUAUUGCUAUAAGGUUGCGUAGCUAUAAGGUUGCGUAUUAGCUUCCAGUGAUUUUACUCUUUUGUCCAUCCUCUGCAGGUCGCUAGCACAUGUGAAUUGUUCUCGUCAAGAGCAUGCUUGUGACAUCAUUACUAUAUGUGAUGCAGGGCAAAAGGAUGUUGUCAGAAGGUAAAAACACAUCUAAUCAUUUCCCUUUUUUUCCUUGCCCUUUUCGCCGUCAUAUACACUUCAUCUCCCACUAUAACGGAUAACCAAAUUUGUAUUCUUGAAAGUUUUAAUCAUCUCUAUUGCAGGCUUGCAGCUAAGUGUUCAAGUGCAAUCUCUAGCCAAGUUUCCUUUGUUGUUGUGUUGUAUUUUGAGGAAAGGUGGUCGAGCAGCUCGUGACAUAUGUGUCGCGCCUGCUCUGCAGCUGCCUUGACCCGCCGCCGACGUCGCCGGUUGAGACGCAAGGGUGCAAGAUCAUCGUGGGGCCCAUUGCAUGGGCGCAAAGUAUGCUUGAUUGCCAUGUCGUAGGCGAAGGUGCUAGAGCUUGGUGGCGUGUUUGUGGUGUUUUUUCUCCCAUUGCAACACAUCGAUUGAUUUAUUCAUGCAUCUGUCGAUUUACUCUGAAUUUUUUUCAGUCGUCAAACAUUAACUGGAUUGGUUCGUGGAUAUGCAGUGUGACAAGUCGUGUGAGAUGAACAUGGUGAACCAUCUCAAUGUGAAGCCAAGUAUGUGGUGGAUUUUCCAUGGAUGAUGAAAGACUGGUAAGGGUAAAAGUUUGAGCUGCCAAAUUUUGUGUGACCGAGGUCCUGGACGGUCAAACCUAAAAAGUUCAGUGAAGAUUCAGGUUACACAUGGAUUCCUUUUUGUUGCCUACAAUGCUGUAAUCACGCUAACUAUGAGCAUGGUGUGUACCAGAGAUGAUUCAAAAAUUGCUUGCAGAUAGGCAGUUGGAUGUCAAGGAGGCCGAAGCCUGUUGUGCCAAAACUAACACAUUAGAAUCUUACAAUUUGCUGCUACCAUAUUUCAAUGUAAGAACACGAUGAUGCAAAGGAAUCUUAUUAUGUAGCCAUAUGUAAUCUCAAUUUGUUGCUAUGUAUAAACUAUGAUAGGAGUAGGAUCAUAUAGAUGUGUAUCCAUUUUUGCCUUCUACUGAUCUAUGACAAAGGGGAUGUGCUGGACUAAGUGGCCGUUGCUAUUGAAGCAAAGGAGCGGAAACUCGAAAUCUUCAACCAAUGGAGGUUAUCUUUCAUAUGGAUUUUAUUAUAGAUACUUGUAGAUGUGUGUCAGUUCCUUAGAUCAUGUUUGAUUCUUAAAAUUUUAGAUGUUUCAUGUAACCAUCAAUUAUGCUACUAGCAGUCCCUGUACAUUCUUUUUUACCUGUUCUAAAAAAUUAUCUCGGUUUAUAAGCACCACACAUUUUAAUGUAUAAGUAAGAUUAUGAGUUGAUCCAGUGCCGAAAACAAUUCAGUUGAACAUGUUUUUUCUAGCAGUUUUAGGCAACAAUUCAUCUGCAUAUGAAGUUUGAUUCCAUGUGAAGUCUGAUUGAUUUUUUCUAGGAUUCUUCAGGUUUGAUUGGUGAAGCUACAUUCAACAAAGAAGAUAUGUUUAUUUGUAGGGAAAUUUUACAGGUACAAUCCAUCCAGCCAUACAUAAGACUGAUAUUCUCAUUCGUUAACAAUGUGGACAUGGCCUCUACUCUGUUGUGCGUUGAGAAAAGGCUGGGACAUAUAUUACUAUCUGUAUAAUCUUGCUUUGUAAAAUAAUUUGUGGUAACAAACAUGUUAACAAGGGCGCAAGUUUUUC
rnacentral:lncRNA from 1 species